AUUGAACGCUGGCGGCAGGCCUAACACAUGCAAGUCGAACGGCAGAACCGUACUUGCUUCUUGGUUCGGGGGCGGACGGGUGGCUAAUGGCUGAGUAUCUCGUUAGUUGUGUGUUAUAAGGUCGGGAAAAGGGGGCUAAUACGGCAUUAAUCCUCAGGAGGAAAGGGGGGAAGCUUCGGACCUUGCGAAAUCAGAUGAUCAUAUGGCGGAUUAGCUAGUUGGUGGGGUGGAGGCACACCGGGGCGACGAUCCGCAAGUGGUCUGAGAGUAUGAGCAGUCACACUGGAACUGAGACACGGUCCAGACUCAUACGGGAGGCAGCAGUGGGGAAGAUUGGACAAUGGGCGCAAGCCUGAUCCAGCCAUACCGCGUGUGUGAAGAAGGUCUUCGGAUUGUAAAGCACUUUUAGUUGGGAGGAAGAGCAGUAAGUUAAUACGGUGCUGUUGUGACGGUACCGAAAGAAUAAGCACCGGCUAACUUCGUG
rnacentral:rRNA from 1 species